rnacentral:misc_RNA from 1 species
UCUCCGUUGGUGAACCAGCGGAGGGAUCAUUAUCGAGUUUACAACUCCCAAACCCUUAUGUGAACAUACCUACUGUUGCUUCGGCGGACUCGCCCCGGCGUCCGGACGGCCUCGCGCCGCCCGCGGCCCGGACCCAGGCGGCCGCCGGAGACCCCCAAACUCUGUAUUAUCAGCAUUUUCUGAAUCCGCCGCAAGGCAAAACAAAUGAAUCAAAACUUUCAACAACGGAUCUCUUGGUUCUG